GAUCAUUACCGAGUGUAGGGUUCCUAGCGAGCCCAACCACCCACCCGUGUUUACAGUAACCUUAGUAGCUUCGGCGGGCCCGCCUUUAAGGCMGCCGGGGGGCAUCAGCCCCCGGGCCAGCGCCCGCCGGAGACACCACGAACACAGUCUGAUCUAGUGAAGUCUGAGUUGAUAGUAUAGCAAUCAGUUAAAACUUUCAACAAUGGAUCUCUUGGUUCCGGCAUCGAUGAAGAACGCAGCGAAAUGCGAUAACUAGUGUGAAUUGCAGAAUUCCGUGAAUCAUCGAGUCUUUGAACGCACAUUGCGCCCCCUGGUAUUCCGGGGGGCAUGCCUGUCCGAGCGUCAUUGCUGCCCAUCUAGCACGUGCUUGUGUGUUGGGUCGUCGUCCCCUCUUCGGGGGGGACGGGCCCCAAAGGCUGCUGCGGCACCGCGUCCGAUCCUCGAGCGUAUGGUGCUUUGUCACCCGCUCUGUAGGCCCGGCCGGCGCUUGCCGAACGCUAAACAACCAUUCUUUCCUGGUUGACCUCGGAUCUGGUAGG
rnacentral:misc_RNA from 1 species